GACAAUGUGACUUUCUGCAGGUGGUUAUACGAAGUUAUACGAAGAGCAGAAAUGAAAAGUGUGUCUUCCAAGACACAGGCCAACAUACUGAAUGUGUUCAUCCUUCCUCCUGUGUCCCCUGCGUGCUCCACGCUGUACUUGUCUGCAGUAUUAGCCUGCAAAGUUGCAGAGCGUUUCACACACGCAGCACUAAGGUAUCUAACAGUGUCUACUGCCGAGAAACACCUGCAUUAACCUUAACUAUCGACAUGCCAGCCAGAAAUAGCAGCUGGUGGGAUCACCUCUCUCAUGAAAGCUGCUGACCAGCUCUGGGUGCCGCUCCAGGCCACUUGGGUGUGUUCUUCAGGAAGAUCCCAGCUCACCGCAGAUGAGGCUGCCAGCUCGUGUCCUCUCCGAGACCCUUUGCGCUAGCAGAAGAUGUUGGGUCCCAUCAGCCAUCCCUGGGUCACCUAUCGUCUUAGAGGCAUCUCCCUCCCCUCCCUGGUGCUUCUGGCUUGCACGCUUGCGCCGUCCAUUAGCCGAAAUGAGCUAGCUCAAACCGGAGCUGCUAUGUGAGGCAGUGAAUGAACAGAACUGGUGGAAAGAGAAGAGAAGAGAAGAGAAG